rnacentral:rRNA from 1 species
CCAGACUCCUACGGGAGGCAGCAGUGGGGAAUAUUGGACAAUGGGGGGAACCCUGAUCCAGCGACGCCGCGUGAGUGAAGAAGUAUUUCGGUAUGUAAAGCUCUAUCAGCAGGGAAGAAAGAAAUGACGGUACCUGACUAAGAAGCCCCGGCUAACUACGUGCCAGCAGCCGCGGUAAUACGUAGGGGGCAAGCGUUAUCCGGAUUUACUGGGUGUAAAGGGAGCGUAGACGGCGAUGCAAGUCUGAAGUGAAAGGCGGGGGCCCAACCCCCGGACUGCUUUGGAAACUGUCGGACUAGAGUGUCGGAGAGGCAAGUGGAAUUCCUAGUGUAGCGGUGAAAUGCGUAGAUAUUAGGAGGAACACCAGUGGCGAAGGCGGCUUGCUGGACGAUGACUGACGUUGAGGCUCGAAAGCGUGGGGAGCAAACAGGAUUAGAUACCCGGGUAA